UAGGGAAUCUUCCACAAUGGACGCAAGUCUGAUGGAGCAACGCCGCGUGAGUGAAGAAGGUUUUCGGACCGUAAAGCUCUGUUGUUGGUGAAGAAGGAUAGAGGUAGUAACUGGCCUUUAUUUGACGGUAAUCAACCAGAAAGUCACGGCUAACUACGUGCCGGCAGCCGCGGUAAUACGUAGGUGGCAAGCGUUGUCCGGAUUUAUUGGGCGUAAAGCGAGCGCAGGCGGAAGAAUAAGUCUGAUGUGAAAGCCCUCGGCUUAACCGAGGAAUUGCAUCGGAAACUGUUUUUCUUGAGUGCAGAAGAGGAGAGUAGAACUCCAUGUGUAGCGGUGGAAUGCGUAGAUAUAUGGAAGAAUACCAGUGGCGAAGGCGGCUCUCUGGUCUGCAACUGACGCUGAGGCUCGAAAGCAUGGGUAGCGAACAGGAUUAGAUACCCUGGUAGUCCAUGCCGUAAACGAUGAGUGCUAAGUGUUGGGAGGCUUCCGCCUCUCAGUGCUGCAGCUAACGCAUUAAGCACUCCGCCUGGGGGAGUACGACCGCAAGGUUGAA
rnacentral:rRNA from 1 species